UCAAAGGAAUUGACGGGGGCCCGCACAAGCGGUGGAGCAUGUGGUUUAAUUCGAUGCAACGCGAAGAACCUUACCUGGGCUUGACAUCCCGGGAAUCCCCUGGAAACAGGGGAGUGCCCUUCGGGGAACCCGUGACAGGUGCUGCAUGGCUGUCGUCAGCUCGUGUCGUGAGAUGUUGGGUUAAGUCCCGCAACGAGCGCAACCCUUGUCUUUAAUUGCCAUCAUUUAGUUGGGCACUUUAAAGAGACUGCCGGUGUUAAGCCGGAGGAAGGUGGGGAUGACGUCAAGUCCUCAUGGCCUUUAUGCCCAGGGCUACACACGUACUACAAUGGCCGUUACAACGGGAAGCGAAGGAGCAAUCCGGAGCAAAUCCCUUAAAGGCGGUCCCAGUUCAGAUUGUGGGCUGAAACUCGCCCACAUGAAGGCGGAAUCGCUAGUAAUCGCAGGUCAGCAUACUGCGGUGAAUACGUUCCCGGGCCUU
rnacentral:rRNA from 1 species